rnacentral:rRNA from 1 species
GAUCCUAGCUCAGAUUGAACGCUGGCGGCAGGCUUAACACAUGCAAGUCGAGCGGGGAAAGGUAGCUUGCUACCUGACCUAGCGGCGGACGGGUGAGUAAUGCUUAGGAAUCUGCCUAUUAGUGGGGGACAACAUCUCGAAAGGGAUGCUAAUACCGCAUACGUCCUACGGGAGAAAGCAGGGGACCUUCGGGCCUUGCGCUAAUAGAUGAGCCUAAGUCGGAUUAGCUAGUUGGUGGGGUAAAGGCCU